AGGUGUCAUUGUUUAGUUUGCAAAUUCUUUCUAUUCGAAUUUUGAUUUUAUUUCAAGUUCACAUACAAAAUUUGCAGUUUUUGUGAAAUAAAUAAAGUGGAUAUUAUAUUAAUUAAGUUGUAUAUAUUUCGAUUGCUAUAAUGAAUCCAGUAUUAACGUGAAAUAUAGUGUGUAUUGAAGCGGUUAAUCGAUUCGGAUCUUGGUAAAACAGAAGAAUCCAGUAGUUCUAAAAUGCUGUUACAAAGUGUACUUUUAUU